rnacentral:rRNA from 1 species
AUUGAACGCUGGCGGCAUGCUUUACACAUGCAAGUCGAACGGCAGCGCGGGCUUCGGCCUGGCGGCGAGUGGCGAACGGGUGAGUAAUGCAUCGGAACGUGCCCAGUAGUGGGGGAUAGCCCGGCGAAAGCCGGAUUAAUACCGCAUACGACCUGAGGGUGAAAGCGGGGGACGAAAGGCCUCGCGCCAUUGGAGCGGCCGAUGUCGGAUUAGCUAGUUGGUGGGGUAAAGGCUUACCAAGGCGACGAUCCGUAGCUGGUCUGAGAGGACGACCAGCCACACUGGGACUGAGACACGGCCCAGACUCCUACGGGAGGCAGCAGUGGGGAAUUUUGGACAAUGGGGGCAACCCUGAUCCAGCCAUGCCGCGUGCGGGAAGAAGGCCUUCGGGUUGUAAACCGCUUUUGUUCGGGAAGAAAUCCUCUGGGCUAAUACCCCGGGGGGAUGACGGUACCGGAAGAAUAAGCACCGGCUAACUACGUG